ACGUUUGUCAUUGAAAUAGCGCUGAUACAGCUUUCCUUGGUUAUCGCAGUAAACAAAGUAGAGCUGCGCUGAAACACUGCUUUAAUGUGAAUUAUACGAGAUGAAAAGAAAAUACCAUCUAAACGU